AUGAGCGGGACCUUAGCGAAGAUCGCAGAGAACGAAGCCGAGAUGGCUCAGAAUCAGAAGAACAAAGCUACAGCACAUCGCCUUGGACUGCUUAAGGCUCACCUUGCUAAGCUUCGAAGAGAACUCAUCACUCCAAAAGGUGGUGGUGGUGGCAGGCCAGGAGAAGGUUUUGAUGUGGCCAAGACAGUCGAUGCUCAAAUUGGGUUUGUGGGUUUCCAUCUGUGGGGAAGUCAACUUUGCUAAGUAACUUAGCAGGAGUGUAUUCUGAAGUAGCAGCCUACGGAUUCCCUACAUUGACCACAGUGCCUGGUGUCAUCAGAUAUAAAGGUGCCAAGACCCAGCUCCUGGAUCUCCCAGGUAUUACUAAAGGUGCCAAAGGUGGGAAAGGUAGAGGUCAUCAAGUCAUUGAAGUGACCAGAACAUGUAAUUUGAUCUUGAUUGUUCUGGAUGUCCUAAAACCCUUGGGACGUAAGAAGAUAAUUGAAAAUGAGUUGGAAGGCUUAGGGAUUUGCUUGAACAGCAAACCCCCCAACACUGGCUUUAAGAAGAAAGACAGGGGAGGCAUUAAUCUCACAGCCACUUGCCCUCAGAGUGAACUAGAUGCAGAAGCAGUGAAGAGCAUUCUGGCUGAAUAUAAGCUUCAUAAUGCUGAUGUGACUUUGCGUAGUGAUGCCACAGCUGACGACCUCAUUGACGUGGUCGAAGGAAACAGAGUUUAUAUUCCCUGUAUCUAUGUAUUAAAUAAGGUUGAUCAGAUCUCCAUUGAGGAGUUGGGUAUACCCAUCUCUGCUCACCACCGCUGGAAUUCUAAUGACCUUUUGGAGAAGAUCUGGAUCUGGGACUGUCUGAAACUAGUGAGAAUUUACACCAAACCCCAAGGCUGGUUACCAGAUUGCAAAUCUCCAGUGUUAUUGCCUUAUUCUAGGACCACGGUGGAAGGUUUCUGCAUGAAGAUUCACAAAAAAAUCUCAUCAAAGAAUUUAAAUACACUUUGGUCUGGGGUCUGUCGGUGGAACAUAAUCCUCAGAAGGUGGGUAAAGGCCAUCCAUUGGAAGAUGAAGACGUCAUUCAGAUUGUGAAGAGGUGAAGUCCUCUGCCCAUCUGCGGGCUGGCCACAGCAGCAUUCCUAUGACUAAGUACCUUUCUCAGCCUCUUCUGGCUUUGGCAGCCUCUGGAUUGGGAUACAGGGAUUGAUCUGGAGACUUCCCAGCUGAAACACCACCCUU